rnacentral:rRNA from 1 species
UACGUAGGGACCAAGCGUUGUCCGGAUUUACUGGGCGUAAAGGGCGCGUAGGCGGCGCGGUAAGUCACUUGUGAAAUCUCCGGGCUUAACUCGGAACGGCCAAGUGAAACUGUCAAGCUAGAGUGCAGAAGGGGCAAUCGGAAUUCUUGGUGUAGCGGUGAAAUGCGUAGAUAUCAAGAGGAACACCUGAGGUGAAGACGGGUUGCUGGGCAGUAGCUGACGCUGAGGCGCGACAGCGUGGGGAGCAAACAGG